rfam:Medicago truncatula strain A17 chromosome 4, whole genome shotgun sequence.
AGGUGCGAUAAUACCAACACUAAUGCACAGGAUCCCAUCAUGCUUGGGCGAGAGUAGUACUAGGAUGGGUGACGUCCUAGGAAGUCCUUGUAUUGCACAUC